UGAUUUUGAAGUUUAACCUUUCUUUAAUAUUUUAAUUCAAGUUUUAUUUGAAUAUUAAAAAUGCCAAAAAAUAUUUUGUUCAUUUCUUGACUUCCAAUCUUCAUCUCACUUCUGGUUUUGAUUGUUUGACCAUGAUCCUCAAUGUCAUUGAUCAACACUUGUUGAUUGGAACAUUCCAUUUCAUUUAAUGCACCUUAUUCU
rnacentral:lncRNA from 1 species